rnacentral:rRNA from 1 species
CAAGUCGAACGGUAGCACAGAGAGCUUGCUCUCGGGUGACGAGUGGCGGACGGGUGAGUAAUGUCUGGGAAACUGCCUGAUGGAGGGGGAUAACUACUGGAAACGGUAGCUAAUACCGCAUAACGUCGCAAGACCAAAGAGGGGGACCUUCGGGCCUCUUGCCAUCAGAUGUGCCCAGAUGGGAUUAGCUAGUAGGUGGGGUAACGGCUCACCUAGGCGACGAUCCCUAGCUGGUCUGAGAGGAUGACCAGCCACACUGGAACUGAGACACGGUCCAGACUCCUACGGGAGGCAGCAGUGGGGAAUAUUGCACAAUGGGCGCAAGCCUGAUGCAGCCAUGCCGCGUGUAUGAAGAAGGCCUUCGGGUUGUAAAGUACUUUCAGCGGGGAGGAAGGUGUUGUGGUUAAUAACCUCAUCGAUUGACGUUACCCGCAGAAGAAGCACCUGAUAACUCC